rnacentral:rRNA from 1 species
GGAUAACCUACCCUUAGGACCGGGAUAACCCUGGGAAACUGGGGAUAAUACUGGAUAGGCAAUUUUUCCUGUAAUGGUUUUUUGUUUAAAUGUUUUUUCGCCUAAGGAUGGGUCUGCGGCCGAUUAGGUAGUUGGUUAGGUAAUGGCUUACCAAGCCGUUGAUCGGUACGGGUUGUGAGAGCAAGAGCCCGGAGAUGGAACCUGAGACAAGGUUCCAGGCCCUACGGGGUGCAGCAGGCGCGAAACCUCCGCAAUGUGAGAAAUCGCGACGGGGGGAUCCCAAGUGCCAUUCUUAACGGGAUGGCUUUUCAUUAGUGUAAAGAGCUUUUGGAAUAAGAGCUGGGCAAGACCGGUGCCAGCCGCCGCGGUAACACCGGCAGCUCUAGUGGUAGCAAUUUUUAUUGGGCCUAAAGCGUCCGUAGCCGGUUUAAUAAGUCUCUGGUGAAAUCCUGCAGCUUAACUGUGGGAAUUGCUGGAGAUACUAUUAGACUUGAGACCGGGAGAGGUUAGAGGUACUCCCAGGGUAGAGGUGAAAUUCUGUAAUCCUGGGAGGACCGCCUGUUGCGAAGGCGUCUAGCUGGAACGGUUCUGACGGUGAGGGACGAAAGUUAGGGGCGCGAACCGGAUUAGAUACCCGGGUAGUCCUAACUGUAAACGAUGCGGACUUGGUGUUGGGGUGGCUUUGAGCUGCUUCAGUGCCGAAAGGGAAGCUGUUAAGUCCGCCGCCUGGGAAG